rnacentral:rRNA from 1 species
AAUCAACGCUGGCGGCGUGCCUAACACAUGCAAGUCGAACGCGAAAGGGGAGCAAUCCCUGAGUAGAGUGGCAAACGGGUGAGUAACGCGUGGGUGACCUGCCCUUGAGUGGGGGAUAACGUUCCGAAAGGGACGCUAAUACCGCAUAACAUCCUGGGAUUGAACAACUGGAGAUCAAAGCUGGGGAUCGCAAGACCUGGCGCUUGAGGAGGGGCCCGCGUCCGAUUAGCUAGUUGGUGGGGUAAAGGCCUACCAAGGCGACGAUCGGUAUCCGGCCUGAGAGGGCGGACGGACACACUGGGACUGAGACACGGCCCAGACUCCUACGGGAGGCAGCAGUGGGGAAUUGUUCGCAAUGGGCGAAAGCCUGACGACGCAACGCCGCGUGGAGGAUGAAGGUCUUCGGAUUGUAAACUCCUGUUGCCAGGGACGAAUGGCUCACGGCCUAACACGCCGUGGGAAUGACGGUACCUGGUGAGGAAGCCCCGGCUAACUCUGUGCCAGCCGCCGACGUAAGAC